rnacentral:rRNA from 1 species
UAUGGGAGGCAGCAGUGGGGAAUAUUGCACAAUGGGCGCAAGCCUGAUGCAGCCAUGCCGCGUGUAUGAAGAAGGCCUUCGGGUUGUAAAGUACUUUCAGUCGUGAGGAAGGUGUUAAGGUUAAUAACCUUAGCAAUUGACGUUAGCGACAGAAGAAGCACCGGCUAACUCCGUGCCAGCAGCCGCGGUAAUACGGAGGGUGCGAGCGUUAAUCGGAAUUACUGGGCGUAAAGGGCACGCAGGCGGUUAAUUAAGUUGGAUGUGAAAUCCCCGGGCUUAACCUGGGAAUGGCAUUCAAGACUGGUUAGCUAGAGUCUUGUAGAGGGGGUAGAAUUCCAUGUGUAGCGGUGAAAUGCGUAGAGAUGUGGAGGAUACCGGUGGCGAAGGCGGCCCCUGGACAAAGGCUGACGCUCAUGUGCGAAAGCGUGGGGAGCAAACGAGGAUUAGAUACC